UCUCCCAAGCCUCCUCGGGAGGAGAGUGAUCCCUACAGAGGCUUAGGAUGGAAGCUGCACCCCUGCAAACCAUAUGGUUGGCGGGCGCGCAACUUCCCUCCCAUGCCUCUGUGGGGAUCGCUCUCCUCCCGAGGAGGCCGUGAU